GAUGGAAACUUCUACACUGUCAGGGUUGUCUAGACAGAGGUGGGGCCGUCAGGAGAGAGGCGCACCUGUCAGUAGGGAGGGGGCGGAGGCAUUUCGUGUAUCUUCCUCAACUGGCCGCCCUCUGUGAAGACUGGAAUUUCAGGUUUGAUGCUCACAACAACCACAACAGCAUACUGUGGCAAUUAUGAUCCGCAUUUCAUAGAUGAGCAAACGGACGGACACCCAGGGGUUUAAAGUAGCCUGUCCAAUGCCUCACAGAGAAGGUCCUAGAAACCAGGUCUCCUACUGUCCCGCUUUGUGUUCUUUCUACCACCCAAAUGGCAACUUCAGUUGUAUUUCUCCUGUGGCUCUCACCAACCCGACCAGCCAAACCCUUCCAGUCAAAUCCCAGAUAAAAGGAACACUGCUCCUUCUCAUAUACCAUGGAUGGAAGGGUACAUUGGCAUAGCCUUUUUACUUAAAAGGGCAAGCUGGCAACACCUAGGAAAUUUAAAAUGGCAUGUGCCACUUGACCAAGCGAUUUCAGCUCAAGGAAUUUGAUUAUGGAUACAUUCACAAAAACAUGCGAAGAUA